CUCAAUCUCCAUCCGCCGCCGCCAUGCCUUGCCUCUCCUCGGCCCUGUCCUCCGCCUCCACCUCCCCGCCUCCAAGCAAUGACGACGGCCCGAGAUCCAUGGUGACGGCGGCUGCAGUGGCCCGAUAGAAGCGGUGGCCAUCCCUAGUCGUUGCCGCGUUCUUCUGCUACUCAUUUUGGCCAUGGAUCUGCAGCAGGGGCCUCCCUCCUCCGAUUCCCAGAGCCCGCAGCUGAUUCGCCAUCCGGAGAUUUGGAGCAGCAAGCGCCGGAUGAGGAGAGGACGAGGACAGUGACCUGCUGGAGGCACGAGCGCGACCUCGUCAACGGUGACGACGCCCCGCACAAGAUCAGUAGGAGCUCUCUGCCUCUCCAAUUCCAUUGACGGCGACGACCGGGACCCCACGCUCAAACCCGACGAGCUGGAACGGCGAGGUCAUCCGAGCCGACCAUCGUGAUUCCCCACAGAACAAUAGGUCUAUCUCAUGGACACCCAGAUUUAGUAUGCAAUUUUCUCAACACCCAGAUUGGAGCUUAAGGUUGGACAUUUUGAUGGGACUGCGGAUCUUCGGAUGUUGGUGCUGAGAUUGAUGUGGCCCUAGCUACAUGUAAGCGAAGCUUAUGAUGUCGAUCCUCUAGGCUGCACUGCCAUCAUGUUACCUCACAAACUGCUGGUGGUAUGAUUGCGUACCGGGCUACUUGGUGCUGCCCAUCACAAUUUGCACGGACAUGAUAAUUUCCAUCAAGAGGGCCGACAGCAAGAACUUGAAUAGCAACUUCAAUAGUUUAAAUGUUCUAUUUGUGUUAACUGGAUUGUACGGUUUUCUAACUUUCCCAAGUGAUGUAUUUUGUCAAUCUAUGUUGUAAGCUAUCAUUUCAUGGAGGAUUUUGUAAGCUGCUAUGUUGUAGAUACUUGUGGAUUACUGCAUUUUGAUUCAUAUGUGCAUGCGAGACAGUUUUGAAA